AUUGAACGCUGGCGGCAAGCCUAACACAUGCAAGUCGAACGAGUGGCGGACGGGUGAGUAAUGUCUGGGAAACUGCCUGAUGGAGGGGGAUAACUACUGGAAACGGUAGCUAAUACCGCAUACCAUCGGAUGUGCCCAGCUGGGAUUAGCUAGUAGGUGGGGUAAAGGCUCACCUGGGCGACGAGCCCUAGCUGGUCUGAGAGGAUGACCAGACACACUGGAACUGAGAAACGGUAAAGACUCCUACGGGAGGCAGCAGUGGGGAAUAUUGCACAAUGGGCGCAAGCCUGAUGCAGCAAUGCCGCGUGUAUGAAGAAGGCCUUCGGGUUGUAAAGUACUUGCAGCGGGGAGGCGUUACCCGCAGAAGAGGCACCGGAUAACUCCGUGCCAGCAGCCGCGGUAAUAC
rnacentral:rRNA from 1 species